UAUUAUAUUGAUGCAAAAGUAAUUGUGGUUUCUUCCAUUUCUUUUAAUGCCAUUACGCUUAAUGGCAGAAACCGCAAUUACUUUUGCACCAACCUAAUAC
rnacentral:miRNA from 1 species